GAUAAGACCCUAAAGUCUUAUCGUGGCUCUGAUACCAAAUGAUAAGACCCUAAAGGUCUUAUCGUCGCUCUGAUACCAAAUGAUAAGACCCUAAAGUCUUAUCGUAGGCUCUGAUACCAAAUGAUAAGACCCUAAAGUCUUAUCGUGGAAGAAAGGGGAGAAAUGGGGAUGAUAAUGAUCGCUUCGAGGGGAUCGGCCUCCUUGAUCGCUUCGAGGGGAUCGGCCCUCCUUGAUCACUUCGAGGGGAUCGGCCUCCUAGGGUUUGUCCAAAGAUAGAAUAGUAUUUUUCAUAGUUUGUGGGUUAGCAUAGCUAGCUAAUGCAUGCAUUGUAUGUGUGAUCGCUUCAAUAUCUUCAUCAGUUUCCAUACCUUCAUAAUCGGAGUCCAACUCUUCUGCUUUCGGUUCCUCUCCAAUUGGCUCAAUUAUCAUAUGUUGCCCUUGUUUACAUUGGUGCUCCAUACUCCACUUUUCAUCAUAGUGCAAACCCUUUGCUGAUCUUUCAUUGAGUUCUUCUUGGGUUAGUCUUCGGGUGUCAAGGCUUUGGUUGGGAAUAGAUGGGGCCGGUGGCAUACUAAUCAUCUGGUUGUUGUCACUUUUAUUUUCAUGAUUUUCCCUGUUGAUUUUUUUCUCAUGUAGAUGUGCGAAUGAGAUCGCAGCUAUCAUAUUGCGGGGUUGACGAGCCUUAACUUCACACCGAAUCUCUGGAAUAAGCCCUUCAAUAAAUGUAUCCAGAAGUUAUCGUUCCGACCAAUCUCUAGCUUGAUUUGAUAAUCUUUCAAACAUACUCU
rnacentral:lncRNA from 1 species